GCGCCCAUAGCUCAGUUGGUAGAGCGUCUCCCAUUUAAUGAGAGGGUUCCAUGUUCGAGUACUGGUGGGCACA
rnacentral:tRNA from 3 species